GUUUCUAUAGCUUAAUGGUAAAGCAUUACACUGUUAAUGUAACAAUCCUAGUUCAAUUCUAGGUAGAAACG
rnacentral:tRNA from 1 species